rnacentral:rRNA from 1 species
UGCGGGGGGAGCAAGCGUUGUUCGGAUUUACUGGGCGUAAUGGGCGUGUAGGCGGUCAGCACAAGUCAGUUGUGAAAUCUCCGAGCUUAACUCGGAAAGGUCAACUGAUACUGUGCGACUAGAGUGCAGAAGGGGCAACUGGAAUUCUCGGUGUAGCGGUGAAAUGCGUAGAUAUCGAGAGGAACACCUGCGGCGAAGGCGGGUUGCUGGGCUGACACUGACGCUGAUGCGCGAAAGCCAGGGGAGCGAACGGG